CCACCACACAGUGUGAGUGAGAGCGACGCAGACACGAAUGACCGAAGACAGCUAGGCCCAUACAGCUAGGACAAGCGCGUUAUGACGGCCUCCAGUCUUCUUGGAUCUGCUGAUCAUGAUCAUGCCUGGGAUGAACUCGGUCAACUCUGUCAACCUCAGUUUUGACUUAUGCCACAAAACAAAACGAAACACAGAGAGCAUCCUGUCCAGCUGCAUCACUGUGUGGGGUGGAAGCUGUACAGAACACAAGAAGAAGGCCCUGCAGCGCAUCAUGAACACAGCUGAAAGGAUCAUUGGAACACAAGUCUCCCCCCGAUGGACAAAUACACCAGUGGUUCUUAACCUUUUUCUCUUAUCGCACCGCCUUACCUGUGCCCAAGACAAGCUAUGCACUCCCAACCCAAACUUCUACACGCGUAUAGGCUCUAAAAAUGAGAAAUUGUGAACUACACUAAGUGCGAUCGAGAUACCACAGUUGCUUAUCCCCUUCAAUGCUCGUCUGCGCCCAUGAAUUGGUUGGUCAACAACUCACACGUGUGUAUAUGAGUCUUGUCUCACACAUCUACACAAGUUUGCGCAGGUUCCCACUUCAGCUCCUCCUCACUGCCUGUCCCCCCACUCCUCACACGUGGUGUGUUAGUAGAGCAAACUGGUGCGAGCUCAUCGUCUCGCUCAUAUUUGUGGCCGACUUUAUAUCCCAGGUCCUGUUGACCAACAAUCUUCAGAGCAGUUUUAACCAGACGCCUUGGCUUGAUUUUUAGCUGAACAGUUAAAAUCCCAUACCAUGUUUGCAUCCCAUACUGGAUCACACCUUCUAAAAUCAUUUGGAAAAAUAAAAACACAAGCCUUACCUUAAAAAGUACAUCCUUUGUUGGAGCUUAGUACAGAGGCUCUCUAUGUGGACAUGCCAUGCCAUGCCAUGUUAGUGUACUGUCCAUGAAGACACCAAGGUAUUUGUAGGAGGAAACCUGACAUGUGGGUGUCAUGUAUCAGUACUGGGCUUGUGUUAGAGAUUGCUCUUGGGUCAAAUAUCGUUUCCUGGGUUUUACUGACAUUGGGUAUCACACCAGUCAACAAACUGUUUUAUCUCUGAGUGGUAUGAUGCUGUAUCCUGAUCUUGUGUGUGUGUGUGCUCACACACUCAUUCGUGUAAAUGGUGAAGCUGAAGACACUCACUCACACACACACACACACACACACACACACACACACACACACACACACACACACACACACACACACACACACUUACUUGUGUAAAGACAAGACAAUAAACAUUUUCUACAAUCCUAUUAUUGGUCAAUGUUUAUGUCACAUUUUUGCAGUUUGCAUUUUAGCAAGCAAUAGACAACUGAGCAAGCCUUUAGUGUAAGCGGAUGGAGUACAACAAUAAAGGGAAGGAAACCA